UACCGUCAAGGCACAGGGGUAUUAACCCUUGUGUUUUUCUUUUCCCGAUAAAAAGUGCUUUACAACCCGCAGGCCUUCUUCACACACGCGGCAUUGCUGCAUCAAGCUUGCGCUCAUUGUGCAAUAUUCCCCA
rnacentral:rRNA from 1 species